AGGGUGCAGGGCGGAUGCCUUGGCACUAGGAGCCGAUGAAGGACGUGAUAAGCUGCGAUAAGCUUCGGGGAGUUGCACGUAAACUUUGAUCCGAAGAUUUCCGAAUGAGGAAACUCACUUAGAGUAAUGUCUAAGUAUCAUUAAGUGAAUACAUAGCUUAAUGAGGGGAACUCAGGGAACUGAAACAUCUAAGUACCUGAAGGAAGAGAAAGAAAUUCGAUUCCGUAAGUAGCGGCGAGCGAACGCGGAUUAGCCCAAACCAAUAAAGUUUUCUUUAUUGGGGUUGCGGACAUAUCAUAACGAAGAGGUAUCGUAAUUGAAGAGGUUUGGAAAGACCCACCACAGAAGGUAAUAGUCCUGUAUGUUAAACGAGAAGACUUCAGAUAUGAUCCAGAGUACCACGGGACACGUGAAACCCUGUGGGAAGCAGGAGGGACCACCCUCCAAGGCUAAAUACUACCUAGUGACCGAUAGCGUAUAGUACCGUGAGGGAAAGGUGAAAAGAACCCCGGGAGGGGAGUGAAAUAGAACCUGAAACCCUGCACUUACAAGCUGUGGAAGCACAUUUCUUGUGUGACCGCGUACUUUUUGUAGAACGGGCCAACGAGUUACGUUAAGUAGCAAGGUUAAGCACUUAAGGUGCGGAGCCGUAGCGAAAGCGAGUUUUAACUGAGCGUUCAGUUACUUGACGUAGACCCGAAACCGGGCGACCUACCCAUGAGCAGGAUGAAGCGAAAGUAAAAUUUCGUGGAGGUCCGAACCCACGAGCGUUGAAAAGCUCGGGGAUGACUUGUGGGUAGCGGUGAAAUUCCAAUCGAGCCCGGAGAUAGCUGGUUCUCCCCGAAAUAGCUUUAGGGCUAGCCUCAAGGUGAGAGAUACGGAGGUAGAGCACUGAAUGUCCUAGGGGGUAUUGCACCUACCGAAGACUAUCAAACUCCGAAUGCCGUCAUCUUAUACUUGGGAGUCAGACUGUGGGUGAUAAGAUUCAUAGUCGAAAGGGCAACAGCCCAGAUCGUCAGCUAAGGUCCCUAAAUGUAAGUUAAGUGGUAAAGGAUGUGGGAUUGCACAGACAACCAGGAUGUUGGCUUAGAAGCAGCCACUCAUUCAAAGAGUGCGUAAUAGCUCACUGGUCGAGUGAUCCUGCGCCGAAGAUUUCCGGGGCUAAAACUUACUACCGAAGCUACGGCAUCAGUAAUGAUGGGUAGGGGAGCUUCCCAUACGGGUUGAAGCAUGACCGUAAGGACAUGUGGACAGUAUGGGAGUGAGAAUGUUGGCAUGAGUAGCGAGAUGUGGGUGAGAAUCCCACAGGCCGUAAACCCAAGGUUUCCAGGGGAAGGUUCGUCCGCCCUGGGUUAGUCGGGACCUAAGCUGAGGCCGAAAGGCGUAGGUGAUGGACAACAGGUUGAUAUUCCUGUACUACCGAUAACCGUUUGAGAGAAGGGAUGACACAGUAGGAUAAGCUAAGCACACUGUUGGUUAUGUGUGCCCAAGCAUUGAGGCAGUCAAAGUAGGCAAAUCCGCUUUGAUAAUGCUGGGAUGUGAUGGGGAGCGAAAUUUAGUAGCGAAGUAGCUGAUUUCACACUGUCAAGAAAAGUCUCUAUCGAGGUUAAAGGUACCCGUACCGCAAACCGACACAGGUGGGUGAGGAGAGUAUCCUAAGGCCAGCGAGAGAACUGUUGUUAAGGAACUCGGCAAAAUGACCCCGUAACUUAGGGAUAAGGGGUGCCACCAUCAGGUGGCCGCAGAGAAUAGGCCCAAGCGACUGUUUACCAAAAACAUAGGUUUCUGCUAAGUCGCAAGACGAUGUAUAGGAGCUGACGCCUGCCCGGUGCUGGAAGGUUAAGGGGAUCUGUUAGAGCAAUCGAAGCAGUGAACUUAAGCCCCAGUAAACGGCGGCCGUAACUAUAACGGUCCUAAGGUAGCGAAAUUCCUUGUCGGGUAAGUUCCGACCCGCACGAAAGGCGUAACGAUUUGGGCACUGUCUCAACAACAGACUCGGUGAAAUUGUAAUUCCGGUGAAGAUGCCGGAUACCUGCGACAGGACGGAAAGACCCCAUGGAGCUUUACUGUAGCUUGACAUUGGGUCUUGGUACUACAUGUACAGGAUAGGUGGGAGGCUUUGAAACCAGGACGCCAGUUUUGGCGGAGCCAUCCUUGGGAUACCACCCUUGUAGUACUGGGACUCUAACCAUAGGCCAUGAAUCUGGUCUUGGGACACUGUCAGGUGGGCAGUUUGACUGGGGCGGUCGCCUCCCAAAAGGUAACGGAGGCGCUCAAAGGUUCUCUCAGUACGGUCGGAAAUCGUACGUAGAGUGUAAAGGCAAAAGAGAGCUUGAUUGCAAGACAUACAGGUCGAGCAAGGAUGAAAAUCGGACUUAGUGAUCCGGUGGUUCUGCGUGGAAGGGCCAUCGCUCAACGGAUAAAAGCUACCCUGGGGAUAACAGGCUUAUCUCCCCCAAGAGUCCACAUCGACGGGGAGGUUUGGCACCUCGAUGUCGGCUCAUCACAUCCUGGGGCUGUAGUAGGUCCCAAGGGUUGGGCUGUUCGCCCAUUAAAGUGGUACGCGAGCUGGGUUCAGAACGUCGUGAGACAGUUCGGUCCCUAUCCGUCGCAGGCGUAGGAAAUUUGAGAAGACCUGUCCUUAGUACGAGAGGACCGGGAUGGACGUACCUCUGGUGUACCAGUUGUUCUGCCAAGGGCAUGGCUGGGUAGCUAUGUACGGAAUGGAUAAGCGCUGAAAGCAU
rnacentral:rRNA from 1 species